CGAGUAGGCGGAUCUGCAAGUCAGAUGUGAAAUCCCGGAGCUCAACUCCGGAACUGCAUUUGAAACUGUAGACCUUGAGUGAUGGAGAGGCAGGCGGAAUUCCCGGUGUAGCGGUGGAAUGCGUAGAGAUCUGGAGGAAUACCGAUUGCGAAGGCAGCCCCCUGGACAGUGACUGACGCUCAAAUGCGAAAGCGUGGGGAUCAAACAGGAUUAGAUACCCUUGUA
rnacentral:rRNA from 1 species